rnacentral:rRNA from 1 species
GACGAACGCUGGCGGCGUGCCUAAUACAUGCAAGUCGAACGCUUCUUUCCUCCCGAGUGCUUGCACUCAAUUGGAAAGAGGAGUGGCGGACGGGUGAGUAACACGUGGGUAACCUACCCAUCAGAGGGGGAUAACACUUGGAAACAGGUGCUAAUACCGCAUAACAGUUUAUGCCGCUUGGCAUAAGAGUGAAAGGCGCUUUCGGGUGUCGCUGAUGGAUGGACCCGCGGUGCAUUAGCUAGUUGGUGAGGUAACGGCUCACCAAGGCCACGAUGCAUAGCCGACCUGAGAGGGUGAUCGGCCACACUGGGACUGAGACACGGCCCAGACUCCUACGGGAGGCAGCAGUAGGGAAUCUUCGGCAAUGGACGAAAGUCUGACCGAGCAACGCCGCGUGAGUGAAGAAGGUUUUCGGAUCGUAAAACUCUGUUGUUAGAGAAGAACAAGGACGUUAGUAACUGAACGUCCCCUGACGGUAUCUAACCAGAAAGCCACGGCUAACUACGUG